CGGACGGGUGAGUAACGCGUGAGCAACCUGCCUUUCAGAGGGGGAUAACGAUUGGAAACGAUCGCUAAUACCGCAUAACGUCCGGAUGGGACAUCCUGUCUGGACCAAAGGAGAAAUCCGCUGAGAGAUGGGCUCGCGUCCAAUUAGCUAGUUGGCGGGGUAAAGGCCCACCAAGGCGACGAUUGGUAGCCGGACUGAGAGGUUGAACGGCCACAUUGGGACUGAGACACGGCCCAGACUCCUACGGGAGGCAGCAG
rnacentral:rRNA from 1 species